AUUCUCUUCUCCUGUCUUCAUUAUACUUUUUUAGCAGAAAUCCAAAGUGCUGUAGCUUGUGCCCAAAUAUUUUACAGGAUAUUGAUACAAAAAAAAAAGCCUUUUGUAGUUUCUGCAUGUAUUUUUCCUCCUUCCUGCAAAUCAUAGAUAUUAGCUUAGGCAGCUCUUAGAUGACAGUCAAAUCUGGGGAGCAAACCCCUUGCUCUUCUUCUAGAAGCUCUUCCUUCCAAAGUUGCAGAUUUCUUUAUUUGGCCUGAUUUGUGGUUUUAUUCUCUCUCUCCCCUUAGGGUAAAUUACUUCUCAGGAAGUUUCCAGGUCCUUUGGAAAACAUCAUCCCAGAGGAUCUAUCUCAUCAGUUCAGAGUGUAUGAUCAACCAUCUUCAGCCAAGAGAUGAGAAAAAUGAAGCACAUGCAUUUAGCAAGAAAUGA
rnacentral:lncRNA from 13 species